rnacentral:lncRNA from 1 species
UUGGGGAUUUUCAGUACCUGUCAGUGAAUGGGCCUCAUCAAGCUGUGAGCCAAAUCCAGGAGCUCUGUUUGCAAUGGCUGCAGCCAGAGAUCCUCACCAAGGAGCAGAUGAUAGAGCAACUAGUGCUGACACAGUUUCUGAGCACCCUGCCAGAGGAGAUUCAGACAUGGGUGAGGUCAAAACAGCCCAAGAACAGCAAAGA